CACCAUGCCUUGCCUGACAAUCCGUUUUUUUAACUGGAUGAAAUUUACAGAUUAUUCUGGGGAAAAUUAAUAUUUUUCUGAUGUUGGAUAGUUCUGUCUAUACUAGACACACACACACACACACACACACACACACACACACACAAAAUUAAGUCUUAGUAUAUGCCUUUUAAUGAAGUUUUAAAAUGUUUUUGAAAAAUCUUACUCAUCUUUCAUGACAUUUAUUCCAAAUUCUCUUAAAUUGUGUUUUAAGAAAUUACAUUUUUUUACUGGUUAUUUGGUUAUUGCUGGUAAAUAUGAAUGAAACUGAUUUUGGGACAUUGUUACAAGUAACUUUGCUAGCAUAUUAAUUCUCAGAGUGUAUUCUGUAUCGGUUUAAUAGAGUAUAAAUUCUCCUAACGUUUUCAUAUAGUCAUAGCAUUUGCAAGCCAUGACAAUUUAUUGUUUUUCCUUUCCAGCUGUGGCAGGAACAUUCACAGCUCCCUGAAUAUUCCUGUACUCCCUCACAUUUCCAGGCCCUUUGGAGUUAAAGUCAUGUGACUUAUUUGAGCCAAUAGGGUGGAAGUGGAAGAGAUGAAUGUCACUAGGAAACUGGAGGAAUAAAGAGCUGAUGUGUCAUCCUCCAUUUCUCCCUUGCCUCUGUACAAUAACUGGGUGUUCCCCUUUUGAGAAGCACAGCCACAAAAGGACACUUCUUAGGACUGAGUCACCACCAGCAAGAUCUACUAUGAACUUUGAGCAAAAGCAAACUUAUGUCGUGUUGAUCCUGAGUGCUUUGUUAAAAACAUUCUGCAUGCUGACCUCCGUCUCAGUGUUUGCUUCCUGGGGAAACCUGAAACAGGACUCGAUGCUAGAAGCUAUCCAGAAGAACCAGAUUGGCCACUGUCCUUGCCAGAAGAUCCGAUCUCCUGUCUAUGGCCACCACCUAACACUGCUCACUUCUACAUCUAAACCUCAGGUUCAACUUAAUGCAGUUCAAAGUAAUGUAAUGAUAAUCAUGAAUGAUAAGUGAGGGGGGAUAACACCAUCCUAAAGAGAUGAGAAGAUAGUAAUUAAUUUGGGGGAAAGUUCAUAUCUGCUAUGUGCAAAAUGUUAGAAUUAUAAAUUCAAGGCUUUGCAGACACUGCCACAACCGGGAGCCCUGUACUGUCAGCCACGGUUAACUCCACUGUGUUCUUCCACAUCACCAUCGACAGCGAGCCCUUGGGCCACGUCUUCUUCAAGCUGUUUGCAGACAAGCUUCCAACGAUAGUGGAAAACUUUUAUGCUCUAAGCACUGGAGAGAAAGGAUUUGGUCAUAAG
rnacentral:lncRNA from 13 species